AGGAAUUUAUACCUUUAUUGUGUGGGUUUGAAUAUUCAUAAUAGCAAUCAGAGAAUAAUCGGGGCCCAACACACACACAGGGUGGUUGGAGAGACUAUACCUGUGGCAAUACGAAAGCAUAGAAAUAAGUAGGUUGAUCUAUUUUUCUGCAUAACAUUUAUAACUAGUUACUGAUUAGAAUGGGGAAAAAGUUGAGAUACAGUCAAGGUUUUCUUUUCCUUAAUUUCAAUGAUUGCUUAUAGAGCAUGUGAAACUGAACUCACCCAUGGGAAAAUUUCUGCCUGAACAGCAUUAGUGCAAAGACUACAAGUUUGCACCAGCUUUGUAAAUAUUUGGACACUUGACUCAAUGCUUAACACACUUUGGAAAAUCUCCUGGUGUUAAGAGAGAAAGUAUUAGAUAUGAAAAUCUGUGAGAAUAAAUCACUUCUAAGCUUUGAUUUUUGUGACUACAGAGAAAGACUUUGACUCUGAUGUAACUGAGUGUCUAAAAGUAUUAAAAAAUCAAUAUCUCUUAUCUGCAAGAAUCCUUCUAAUGGCUUAAUGCUCUGUCUUCCAGGAGAUGAGUGUUAAUUGUGUCAAUUGCUCUUUGUGGCAGGAAAAGGACUUGUCUGUCAAAUGCUUUUCAAUCGCCAAGAAGUUUGAGGUACCUGGAGAAUGCUUCCUCCUGUCAACCCUCAUCCUGCUCUCAUUGCCUUUGUUAUCUGCACCAGUCCAUCUCUACACACCCCCAUGUACAUUUUUCUGAUGAACUUAUGUAUCCUGAAAAUUGGUUACACUAGUUCUGUCAUACCCAAUAUAUGGAGAGCCUUGAAAGUGAGAUCUGAGGAAUCUCUCAGGAGGGAUGUGCCACACAGACGUUUUUCUUCACACUUUUUGUAUAAUUGAGUGCUGCCUAUUGCCAGCCAUGGCCUUUGUCCACUGUAUGGCCCUGCUUCAUUCUGCAGCCCAAAUGAGUAGUGAGAUGACAGAUAUCCUCCUAAUGCUUAACUGCGAUAAGCGAAGCAAGAAACACUUUGUGGUAUCUGUGUCAAGUACAUAUAAUCUCAACCUAAAAGAGGAAAACCACUGGGCAAAUCCAAAUUCAGAGACAUUCUUGCAAGGUGAAGAAUGGAGUAUCCACAAAUGACAAUACCAAAUAUACUCCCUCCUGUUCUUAUGAUCCUAUUGAGGUUGAGGUUUUACUGGAACUCAAGCCAUUCUUUUCCCUUCUCAUCAUCCUGUAUCUAUUGUUUGGCUUGAAGAAAGUAUCAUUGUAAAACAUCCAAAAGCCUGAAGUCUCACCCUUGGAACACAGGAAG
rnacentral:lncRNA from 1 species